rnacentral:rRNA from 1 species
AUUGAACGCUGGCGGCAGGCCUAACACAUGCAAGUCGAGCGGGGUUUUCGGACCUAGCGGCGGACGGGUGAGUAAUGCGUAGGAAGCUACCCGAUAGAGGGGGAUACCAGUUGGAAACGACUGUUAAUACCGCAUAAUGUCUACGGACCAAAGUGUGGGACCUUCGGGCCACAUGCUAUCGGAUGCGCCUACGUGGGAUUAGCUAGUUGGUGGGGUAAUGGCUCACCAAGGCGACGAUCCCUAGCUGGUUUGAGAGGAUGAUCAGCCACACUGGAACUGAGACACGGUCCAGACUCCUACGGGAGGCAGCAGUGGGGAAUAUUGGACAAUGGCGAAAGCCUGAUCCAGCAAUGCCGCGUGAGUGAUGAAGGCCUUA